rnacentral:rRNA from 1 species
GAUGAACGCUGGCGGCGUGCCUAACACAUGCAAGUCGAGCGUGAACCGUCUGAAUGAAACUUCGGUCGAGUGAGGAUGGGGAAAGCGGCGGACGGGUGAGUAACGCGUAGGCAACCUGCCCCGUACAGAGGGAUAGCCUCGGGAAACCGGGAUUAAGACCUCAUAAUACCAUUAUCUCACAUGUGAUAAUGGUCAAAGAUUUUAUCGGUAUGGGAUGGGCCUGCGUCUGAUUAGCUGGUUGGUGGGGUAACGGCUCACCAAGGCGACGAUCAGUAGCCGACCUGAGAGGGUAAUCGGCCACAUUGGGAACUGAGACACGGUCCAAACUCCUACGGGAGGCAGCAGUGGGGAAUAUUGCACAAUGGGCGAAAGCCUGAUGCAGCAACGCCGCGUGAGCGAGGAAGGCCUUUGGGUCGUAAAGCUCUGUCGAGGAGGAAGAUAAUGACGGUACUCCUCGAGGAAGCCCCGGCUAACUACGUGCCAGCAGCCGCGGUAAC